UGUUAGUGGCAGACGGGUGAGUAAUGCGUAGGAAUCUACCUAGUAGUAUGGAAUAGCCAUUAGAAAUGAUGGGUAAUACUGUAUAAUCCCUGCGGGGGAAAGAUUUAUCGCUAUUAGAUGAGCCUACGUUAGAUUAGCUAGUUGGUAAGGUAAUGGCUUACCAAGGCUAUGAUCUAUAGCUGGUCUGAGAGGACGAUCAGCCACACUGGAACUGAGAUACGGUCCAGACUCCUACGGGAGGCAGCAGUGGGGAAUAUUGGACAAUGGGCGAAAGCCUGAUCCAGCUAUGCCGCGUGAGUGAAGAAGGCCUUCGGGUUGUAAAGCUCUUUCAAUAGGGAAGAUAAUGACGGUACCUAUA
rnacentral:rRNA from 1 species